GAUGAAGAACGCAGCGAAAUGCGAUAAGUAGUGUGAAUUGCAGAAUUCAGUGAAUCAUCGAAUCUUUGAACGCACAUUGCGCCCCAUGGUAUUCCGUGGGGCAUGCCUGUUCGAGCGUCAUUUACCCCCUCAAGCUCCGCUUGGUGUUGGGCGUCUGUCCCGCUUCGCGCGCGGACUCGCCCCAAAGGUAUUGGCAGCGGUCGUGCCAGCUUCUCGCGCAGCACAUUGCGCUUCUCGAGGCACCGGUGGGCCCGCGUCCAGCAAGCUCACCCCCCCAGUUUGACCUCGGAUCAGGUAGGGAUACCCGCUGAACUUAAGCAUAUCAAUAAGCGGAGGA
rnacentral:misc_RNA from 1 species